AAUUUUCAGCGAUGGAUGUCUUGGCUCUCGCAUCGAUGAAGAACGCAGCGAAA
rnacentral:rRNA from 1 species